CCCCGUGCCAUUUCCUUUUAUUCCUCGAUUCUAAGUCGCAACUAUAAGAAGGAAUAAAAACCACCGUGGUUCCAGCUUCCGCAAUUCACUGUAUUCAAGAACCUCCCAAAACUCCUGCAAAACCCUAACAUUGAAACACAAACACUAAAAUAUUGUCAUGAAUCCCCUCCAUAUGCAUGAUUAAAGAGGCUCUUCAAUUCUUCUCCCACCAUUUGAAGAGAAAUACUUCUCCCCACUCUCCCACUUUGAACAAGUACUUGCACUGCCUCUCUCGCUCCAGCUGCAUUGAUCUCUCUCUUAAGCUUCUCCUCUACUUCAUUUCCAAAGGGUACACUCCUCAUCCUUUUUCUGUCAAUUCAGUUAUCUCAUAUUUGUGCAAUCUGGGCCAUCUUAAUUCUGCCCAGAACCUGGCGAAUUCACUUUUUCGCCUUGGUUUUUCCCUGGAUAUAGUCACUUAUACCGCCCUCAUUGAUGGGCAUUUGCGUAAUUCGGACGUUGCUAAUGCUUGUUUGACAAUGAAGGAAAUUGUUUGUAAUGAUAAUAUUGUGCCUGAUGUGGUUACUUUUAAUGUGCUAUUUAGAAGGUUUUCCAAGGAUGGAAUGGUAAAAGAGUUGCUUGCUUACAUGAGUUUGAUGUGGAAAGUUUGCAUGCCGAAUGAUGUUACUUACUGUAAUUUGAUUGAUAUGUAUUGUAAGAUGGGUGAUUUGGAUAUGGGUCUUAGGGUGUUCAAGGACAUGACAAAAGGUGGGGUUUUGCCCAAAUUUCUUGUCUUUACUUCCUUGAUUGAUGCGUAUUGUAGGGUUGGUGAUUUGGAAGUGGCAUUUAAUUUGUACAAGGAUAUGCAUGCGUGUUCAGUUUUGCCGAAUGUGGUUACUUAUGUGGCUUUGAUUGACGGGUUCUGCAAGCAGGGGAUGUUGCAGAGGGCUGAGCAUUUAUUUAGGAAAAUGGUGAAAGAUGGGGUGUUACCUAAUUCUGUUGUUUAUACUUUGAUUAUUGAUGGGCAUUUUAAGAGAGGCAAUGUGGAUAGGGCGCUUGAGUAUUUGUCUGAGAUGCUUGCUAGGGGCAUUAGACUUGAUAUAGUGACUUAUGGGGCUCUUAUACAAGGGCUUUGUGCUGGGAAUAAACUGGAAAGUGCAGUUGAGGUUAAGGAACAUAUGGUGAAGAACAGAUUGGCACCUGAUAAUAUCAUAUUUGCUACACUUAUGCGUGCAUAUUUCAAGGCAGGGAAUUUGAAAGCAGCACUAGAUGAGUACAAGGAAUCGUUAGCACAAGGGUUUGAGCCUGACUUUGUGACUCUAACAACAUUGAUAGAUGGCCUCUGCAAGCAUGGGCAUCUGACUGAGGCAAAAGGACAUUUCAGUAAAAGUAAAGCUAAUGAAGUUGUAUACAGUGCUCUUAUUGAUGGCAUGUGCAAAGAAGGAGAAUUUAGUCAAGUUCAGAUGCUUUGCAAGGAUAUGGCAGAGGCAGGCAUUGUUCCUGACGAGUAUAUUUAUACCUCUUGGAUUGCAGGGUUAUGCAAGCAAGGGGAUUUGGUUGAAGCUUUCAGGCUCAAGAACAAGAUGAUUAAAGAGGGCAUUAUUCCUGAUUUGUUGACCUAUAGCUCUUUGAUUUUUGGGUUGACAAAUAAAGGCCUCAUGAUUGAAGCAAAGCAAGUCUUUAAUGACAUGUUGGAGAAAGGAAUAAGUCCUGAUUAUGUAGUUUAUGAUAUCCUAGUUAGAGGAUACACUGUGCAGAAUGACACUGUUAGGAUUUCACAAUUGCAGGAUGAGAUGACAAAGAGAGGUCUUAUCAAGGAAACAACUGAUGUGGACAUUAGAAAGCUAUAAUUUUUUUAUGGCAAUUGCUAACUUUCAUUUGUCAAAUGAAAGCUCAUCUUGGAGCUUCCUUUGGAACAAUUUUAAUAGAUUAUGUGGGAGUCUUAUGUUUCUGAUCAAGAUAUCCACAUGAAAAGAGGUGCAAGGCAUUUUUGUACUCAUGAAUUCUGGAAAAGGCAAUUACUUGGCCUUGCAACUUCUUGUGUACGCCAUUUUUGAAAGGCAUUUUUGUACAAAUGAAUUCUGGAAAGCAAUUACUUGCCUGUACAACUUCAUAUGUACACUACUAUUGCCAUUUAGUUAUCCAUGUUGUAAGUUGUAACCAAUAUGCUACAGAAGUCAAAAAAGUUUCCUUUUCACUUCGGCAGUACCCAAACUUGCAUAUUAUUCUCACGUAUGUUUAGGUGACCUUUUAAUUUUCUAUUCACACCAGAAAGCAUAAUAAUGUUUCAAUUCAUGUCUUAGUUUUUACCUGUCAUCAGGUGACUCUUUAACACAAAUACGUGGCCACUGCUACAACUAUUCGAGUAACUCGUUCAAUACUGAGAUGAUGGGUAAGUGUCUUUUUCUCAGCAAAUUG
rnacentral:lncRNA from 1 species